UUGUGAAGCUUUUGACAAGAUAUUUCCUUUUGGCUUGCAGUUCCUAACAAGCAAGCAGUGGAUGAGGCAGUGGUCAACAUGACCAGUUCAGGGCACAAUCUCUGGAAAACACUUGCUAUGGAGGUUGCAGAGACCCAGAAGACCUCGAAUGGAACAGCUGCCUCCAAAAUUGAAGUCCAACGCUACCUGGCAGAAGCAAAGACACCCAGAAACCCAGAAAUCAAGACCCUUUAAAAUAUUGGAAAUGGAAACAGAAAACAUAUUCACAUCUGCAUCAACUUGCACUUAAAACUCUGUGUUCACCAUUGUCAUCUGUACCAUGUGAAAGCGUAAUUUCUGAGGCUGGGGAGCUGGUGUCAAAGAGGAGAAAUCGCCUUGGAGUAAAGACACGCCAAAAACUUUUGUUCCUCAAAAAAAAAAUUCAUCAAC